GCCUGGGGAGUACGGCCGCAAGGUUAAAACUCAAAGGAAUUGACGGGGACCCGCACAAGCGGUGGAUGAUGUGGAUUAAUUCGAUGCAACGCGAACAACCUUACCUACCCUUGACAUGUCCGAGACCCUGCUGAGAGGUGGGGGUGCCCGAAAGGGAAUCGGAACACAGGCGCUGCAUGGCUGUCGUCAGCUCGUGUCGUGAGAUGUUGGGUUAAGUCCCGCAACGAGCGCAACCCUUGUCCCUAGUUGCUACGCAAGGGCACUCUAGGGAGACUGCCGGUGACAAACCGGAGGAAGGUGGGGAUGACGUCAAGUCCUCAUGGCCCUUAUGGGUAGGGCUUCACACGUCACACAAUGGCCGGUACAGAGGGUUGCCAAAGCGCGAGCUGGAGCCAAUCCCCAUAAAAGCCGGUCGUAGUCCGGAUUGCAGUCUGCAACUCGACUGCAUGAAGUCGGAAUCGCUAGUAAUCGCGGAUCAGCAUGUCGCGGUGAAUACGUUCCCGGGUCUUGCACUCACCGCCCGUC
rnacentral:rRNA from 1 species